GACGAACGCUGGCGGCGUGCUUAACACAUGCCAGUCGAACGGAAAGGCCCUGCUUUUGUGGGGUGCUCGAGUGGCGAACGGGUGAGUAACACGUGAGUAACCUGCCCUUGACUUUGGGAUAACUUCAGGAAACUGGGGCUAAUACCGGAUAGGAGCUCCUGCUGCAUGGUGGGGGUUGGAAAGUUUCGGAGGUUGGGGAUGGACUCGCGGCUUAUCAGCUUGUUGGUGGGGUAGUGGCUUACCAAGGCUUUGAGGGGUAGCCGGCCUGAGAGGGUGACCGGACACAUUGGGACUGAAAUACGGCCCAGACUCCUACGGGAGGCAGCAGUGGGGAAUAUUGCACAAUGGGCGGAAGCCUGAUGCAGCAACGCCGCGUGCGGGAUGACGGCCUUCGGGUUGUAAACCGCUUUCGCCUGUGACGAAGCGUGAGUGACGGUAAUGGGUAAAGAAGCACCGGCUAACUACGUG
rnacentral:rRNA from 1 species